rnacentral:rRNA from 1 species
CGCCUUGCCAGCCCGCUACAGAAACUUAAAGGAAGUUCGACGGGGGCCCGCACAAGCGGAGGAGCAUGUGGUUUAAUUCGAUGAUACGCGAGGAACCUUACCUGGGCUCGAACGUAAGAUGACUGUAGGUGAAAGCUUACAUCUCUUCGGAGCAUUUUACGAGGUGCUGCAUGGUUGUCGUCAGCUCGUGCCGUGAGGUGUCGGGUUAAGUCCCAUAACGAGCGCAACCCCUACCUUUAGUUGCCAUCAGGUAAUGCUGGGGACUCUAAAGGAACUGCCUACGCAAGUAGUGAGGAAGGCGGGGAUGACGUCAAAUCAGCACGGCCCUUACGUCCAGGGCUACACACGUGCUACAAUGGCCGAUACAGAGGGCAGCUACCUGGUGACAGGAUGCAAAUCUCCAAAGUCGGUCUCAGUUCGGAUCGGAGUCUGCAACCCGACUCCGUGAAGUUGGAUUCGCUAGUAAUCGCGCAUCAGCCAUGGCGCGGUGAAUACGUUCCCGGGCCUU